GACGAACGCUGGCGGCGUGCUUAACACAUGCAAGUCGAACGGAAAGGCCCUGCUUUUGUGGGGUGCUCGAGUGGCGAACGGGUGAGUAACACGUGAGUAACCUGCCCUUGACUUUGGGAUAACUUCAGGAAACUGGGGCUAAUACCGGAUAGGAGCUCCUGCUGCAUGGUGGGGGUUGGAAAGUUUCGGCGGUUGGGGAUGGACUCGCGGCUUAUCAGCUUGUUGGUGGGGUAGUGGCUUACCAAGGCUUUGACGGGUAGCCGGCCUGAGAGGGUGACCGGCCACAUUGGGACUGAGAUACGGCCCAGACUCCUACGGGAGGCAGCAGUGGGGAAUAUUGCACAAUGGGCGGAAGCCUGAUGCAGCAACGCCGCGUGCGGGAUGACGGCCUUCGGGUUGUAAACCGCUUUCGCCUGUGACGAAGCGUGAGUGACGGUAAUGGGUAAAGAAGCACCGGCUAACUACGUGCCAGCAGCCGCGGUGAUACGUAGGGUGCGAGCGUUGUCCGGAUUUAUUGGGCGUAAAGGGCUCGUAGGUGGUUGAUCGCGUCGGAAGUGUAAUCUUGGGGCUUAACCCUGAGCGUGCUUUCGAUACGGGUUGACUUGAGGAAGGUAGGGGAGAAUGGAAUUCCUGGUGGAGCGGUGGAAUGCGCAGAUAUCAGGAGGAACACCAGUGGCGAAGGCGGUUCUCUGGGCCUUUCCUGACGCUGAGGAGCGAAAGCGUGGGGAGCGAACAGGCUUAGAUACCCUGGUAGUCCACGCUGUAAACGGUGGGUACUAGGUGUGGGGUCCAUUCCACGGGUUCCGUGCCGUAGCUAACGCUUUAAGUACCCCGCCUGGGGAGUACGGCCGCAAGGCUAAAACUCAAAGGAAUUGACGGGGCCCGCACAAGCGGCGGAGCAUGCGGAUUAAUUCGAUGCAACGCGUAGAACCUUACCUGGGUUUGACAUGGAUCGGGAGCGCUCAGAGAUGGGUGUGCCUCUUUUGGGGUCGGUUCACAGGUGGUGCAUGGCUGUCGUCAGCUCGUGUCGUGAGAUGUUGGGUUAAGUCCCGCAACGAGCGCAACCCUUGUUCACUGUUGCCAGCACGUUAUGGUGGGGACUCAGUGGAGACCGCCGGGGUCAACUCGGAGGAAGGUGGGGAUGACGUCAAGUCAUCAUGCCCCUUAUGUCCAGGGCUUCACGCAUGCUACAAUGGCUGGUACAGAGAGUGGCGAGCCUGUGAGGGUGAGCGAAUCUCGGAAAGCCGGUCUCAGUUCGGAUUGGGGUCUGCAACUCGACCUCAUGAAGUCGGAGUCGCUAGUAAUCGCAGAUCAGCAACGCUGCGGUGAAUACGUUCCCGGG
rnacentral:rRNA from 1 species